rnacentral:rRNA from 1 species
UGGGGAAUAUUGGACAAUGGGCGCAAGCCUGAUCCAGCAAUGCCGCGUGUGUGAAGAAGGCCUUCGGGUUGUAAAGCACUUUUAUCAGGAGCGAAACGCUGUCGGCUAAUACCCGGCGGAACUGACGGUACCUGAGGAAGUAAGCACCGGCUAACUUCGUGCCAGCAGCCGCGGUAAUACGGAAGGGUGCAAGCGUUAAUCGGAAUUACUGGGCGUAAAGCGUGCGUAGGCGGUUUCUUAAGUCUGCUGUGAAAUCCCCGGGCUCAACCUGGGAAUGGCAGUGGAUACUGGGAGGCUAGAGUGUGUCAGAGGGUGGUGGAAUUCCCGGUGUAGCGGUGAAAUGCGUAGAGAUCGGGAGGAACAUCAGUGGCGAAGGCGGCCACCUGGGACAACACUGACGCUGAGGCACGAAAGCGUGGGGAGCAAACAGGAUUAGAUACCCUGGUAGUCCACGCCCUAAACGAUGCGAACUGGAUGUUGGUCCUCAACUCGGAGAUCAGUGUCGAAGCUAACGCGUUAAGUUCGCCGCCUGGGGAGUACGUCGCAAGACUGGAAACUCAAAUGAAUUGACGGGGUCAUAGCUGUUUCCAUG